rnacentral:rRNA from 1 species
UACGAGAGGCCCAAACGUUAUUCGGAUUUACUGGGCUUAAAGAGUUCGUAGGCGGUGCAGAAAGUGGGGUGUGAAAGCCCUCGGCUCAACCGAGGAAUUGCGCUCCAAACUACUGUGCUAGAGGAAGCUAGAGGUGAGCAGAACAGAUGGUGGAGCGGUGAAAUGCGUUGAUAUCAUCUGGAAUACCGGAGGCGAAGGCGGCUCACUGGGGCUUCACUGGCGCUGAGGCACGAAAGCUAGGGGAGCAAACGGG